rnacentral:lncRNA from 1 species
CCAGCCCCAAAACCCCAGAUCCAGCCCCAAAACCCCCAGAUCCGACCCCAAAAGCCCCAGAUCCAGCCCUAAAACCCCCAGAUCCAGCCCCAAAACCCGCAGCUCCCCCCCUCCCCAGACCCGGCAUCCAUUUCCCGCUCAUUCCCGGCGCGGGCGCGGGAACCUGGCCACGCCCCUUUCCCCUCCAGGCCACGCCCCCUUUUCCUCUUACCCCGCCCCUCUCGCGUCACACGCGCCGCGUGACGUCACACGNNNNNNNNNNCGCGAGCGGGGGCGGAGCCUGAGGCGAGCGGGGGGCGUGGCCUCGGCGCUUGGCCCCGCCUCCAGCAGCUCCUCGAGCCGGGGGGAGGAGCCGGCUGUGCCGAUGGGCGGGGCUCUUCUCCGGCGGCGGCGGCUGCGCGCGAAGCUCGGCGCAUGCGCGGCGCGGCCCGGCGUGGCGCAGGGGGAGGCGGCUGCGCGCAUGCGCGGGGGGCCCACGGGGCUGCCGGCCAUGGAGCGGAAAGUGCUGGCGCUGCAGGCUCGGAAGAAGCGGACCAAGGCCAAGAAGGAGAAGNNNNNNNNNNNNNNNNNNNNNNNNNNNNNNNNNNNNNNNNNNNNNNNNNNNNNNNNNNNNNNNNNNNNNNNNNNNNNNNNNNNNNNNNNNNNNNNNNNNNNNNNNNNNNNNNNNNNNNNNNNCCCCCCCUCAGCACCGCCGGGUGGGGCCGUGACGGGAACAAGGCCCUGAGGGGGGGUCUCGGCCUCCAGGGGGGGGUCUCGGGGUGUGUGUGUGGGGGUCUCGGUUCCUCCUCACGGGGAGCCCCCCCGGUGGUGGUUCCGUUGGGUGGGGGCCGGGCGGUAACGGAGCCCCCUGAGGGGCUUUGGGGGGGGUCCGAGCCCCAGCUGGGGGCUGCAGGCACCCGUCUGCCCCCCCCCAGAGCGGCCCCGUAACCGCUGUUGGCAGGCACCGGGCUCCCUCUGCUCCCCUUCCCCCUUUUUCCAACUCUUACAGUAGGAGCCCAGCGCCUCGUUCGUUCCUUCUCUAACUUUGAUGCUCUCCUGCGGCUCCCUUCCCACCGCAGGAAUCUCGCAGGGCCCUCGGUGUGGUGAGCGGCUGGGUGCCGAUAGGAGAAAUUAAAGGAUCUGCAGUAAACGCCAAACAAUGGCUUCCAGCGGGCCGCCUGAAGUGCUGCGUUCAUCGCCGCUUACGGGUUCCUUCCCAGUGAGCGGUGAUGUAAAUCCCCGACCCGUUCUGUAAAUGCCCUUUAUUUCUGUAAGGAUUCCGUUUACACUUGCCAGUGCACAAAGUGAGGCUUGCGGUGGGCAGGAGGUUCAGGGUGCCUUCCUUCAGACCCGUAACGCUUCCUUAGUCACUUCCUCUGACAAAUCCUGUGUCUUUUUGGAACUUUUUGGGUUGGUUUUGUGUCCAGUAAAAGGUUUGGUUCUCAGGCAGGGCUCUGAGGGGUGAAGAGUGUUACUCUCAGCUCUCUGGGAGAUGUGUGUUAUAUUUCCCCACUGUUUUGUACGUUUUCUGGUAUCUUUUGCAGAUAACCUUAGCACAAUUUUUGAAGAGCUUCUCCUUGAUCUUUGUGUCCUAAUUUCCCAAUGAAUAAUCACGUGUUUGGUUUUCUUCUUGCCUACUUUAGUUUUUUUCUCUUGUCCAGCUGCAGACAACCAAUGCUGGCUAUGUUUGCAGUUGCAAGGACUGUUUACAUGUUAAUCCUGAAGCUGUUGAAUGUUAGCUUCCAGUGCUGGCGUGUUUUUAAUAAAUAAAUGAAUGAAUCCUCUUUAACCACAUAGCUGGAGCAGGUCCUGUCCAGGGCCGCUGCUUGAUCUUGCCGCUAACCUUGAUGUGAGGGGAGAAUUAUGCUGCUCAUAAAGUGCUGUGCUUACCUUCUGGAACUAGCUGCUUCAGCUCUGUUUGCCAGUGCUAUUUAUUCGAUCCUACCUCAGAAGUUAAAGAAACUCCCAGGCACUUCAUGCUUUAUGUUGUACAAUGCAAAAGGCCCAGCAUCAGCCUCUGAUUUGGAGGCCCGGCUGCAGAACCGUUAUGCUAUUUAAAUACAAAGCUGCUCUGCUUAAAUCUUCUAAAAUAAGCUCAACUGCAUGGUUGUAAGGCUUUCUCCAUAAAAUCUAAACUUGAAGCCACGUGAAAUGCCCUCUUAAUGCACGAUGUUCAGUGGCAGUUGGUCAGGUCCUUUUCCUAUAUGGAACAGCUGAUUUUAGAAGAUUAGGAUUGGCAAGAGUUAGGAGCUGCCUUGCGGGUAAGUAAAAAUGCAAAGAAUGUUCAGAAGGGAUUUAAAGCAAUUUAAAAUUGUUUUCACUUUGGAGGUGAACUAUACCUGCUUUGUGUUUUUGUUGUCAAUCCAAUCUGGCUAAAAACAAAGAAAAAAAACACUUAAAGUAAUUGUGCAUAGUAUAAAACUAGCAAAUUGUCUCUUUCAUCAUUCAGUAAUGAAAAUUGCAGCUAUUUAGGUUCAGAGAAGAACGGGCUAAAUUGUUUAAACAAAGUAAACCCCUGUAAAUACUAAUUGCAGUUCCAUUUAUAAGAUUUUUUUUAAUGGGAAGGUCAACAAAGUUCUUUGUUCUCUGUGAAUCUUAGUCUGCUCCUCUGUCUUCUUGUCCUACCUUUUUAAAAGCUUUAUUUGAUAUCAAUGAAGGAGUGAGUAUGUGUCCUAAUGUUCUCUUCUACAGAAAGAGCUGGAAAAGCUUCUUGGUACUAUGAAGGCGUGAGGUACCCGUUUCUUCCUGCUCCAAUAAGCUACCCCAAAUCUUCUGGUUGUCUGCAGGAAUCACUAAACCAGCUGUUUCAGAUCUCUGUUUAGGAAGCUUCUCCUAGCCCGAUCGUCUGUCCUGCGUCUGCUGCUGCGGAGCUGGGAGGUUGCUGUGGCUGCGGACCUGUUGCCCAGCUCCAUUUCUGUGAGAGUGGAGGAGGAGGAGGGCAGGGAGAGUGGUAGCUGAACGGCUGGGGGGGACAAAAAGCAAACCUAAAUAGAGAGAUCUUGAGGUCUAACACUGCCUGUUGGGUCGCUUUGUGGCCUUGAGGGAGGCAUUUAUUUAAUUUUCCUUCUCUCUUUUCCAUCAUAAAGGAAAUAGAAAUCAUUUUGAACGAUUUAAAUUCUACAAAACGAGAGGCAAGUUUCUGUUUGGUCUUUAUCGUAUUAUCAGUGUCAGGAAAUGCACAAGUCAAAAAGCUCUAGUCCCUGAUACAACAUGGGGAGUUUGGCAUGUAGGCUACUGCAACAUAGGCUGCUGCCAAAAGAUAAUGUUGCUGAAAGCUAUCUGGAAAGUAUGGGAUAUAUUUUAUUUUAUAUUUUAUCAUUUCGUGAGGUGGGAAGAUCUCUGGCACUAUCAGGUCAUUCCCAAACUUCAAAAAAGCCCCUCUUUGGUUUUCUUUUUUUUUUUUUUUUAAUGAACUUGUAAGCUUCAGUUUUUUUCUUAGUAAAUUUUUCUUAAGUUUAACCAUAAACUUGUCAGGCAGCUGGAUCUGAUGAGGUGAAUUCAAGUGGUUUUUGCUUGAUUGCCAAAAAUCCGGAAUACUUCUGCAUUUCUUAUUUUGAGGCAAUUACUUACCCCUCAGAGCUGAGCAGAUGCCUUAGGUGGUGCUUGGGGAAGCGGGGAGCUUCGCGGUGCUCUCCUGGGGACAGUUCUGGUGCUGCUUUUCCUCCCGUGAAUUUUAGGGAGCUGAAAACACCAUUCCUACAUUGUGGUGUGCUGUGAGCUGUGCUGGGUGGGCAGCAGGGUGCAACGGGUGUGCCGAGUGCUCUGGCUUUCAUCAGCCACAAGGUGGCUGCUGCCGUGCAGGGCCGGUAGCGCAGAGCACGUGUGGCUGUAACAGGCUCGUGGUGCUCCAGGAAGCAGUGUGGGCUAGCAGGAGUUUUUCUGAAGGCUUGGUUUUUGGAGACAAUCCCUGGGUACUGAGUGGGUGGGAACGUUGCUUUGAGUUGGCUCUGGUGCAGGUGGAAGGGCUGGUAACUGGCUGAAGCGGUGCUGGCACGUGCGUUUGGGUAGUUUCAUUUCAAAGUGUCCUUUUGUGUGCUCUGAGUCUCGUGCUGUGUGAAUGACAGCCCAGCAAGUGGGGAAGAUGAGGGAUUUGAUACCAAAUCAUGCUUCUGUUUGAGCUGAAAUGCAAAUAUGGUUGCAUUUUCCUAAUGGCUCUGACUUAUAAUGGAAUUAGGCACUUGUAACUACUAAUGUUGUACUUCUGGUCUGUGGCUGUUUUUUGUCUGCAUUUUCGCAAGCACUCCAUGAUCAAGCUGUUCUUUGUCCUGGAAAAAACAGUCCAGGUUACUUCUGCGAUUAGGACCCAGGGCUUAAAAACCAGGCUAAAAAAAUAACUGUCCAGAUUCAAAGCACAUAGACAAGAAACAGAGCAAGUAGUUGCAUAUUAUAUCUCACUUUUCCUGAAAUGAAGGAAAUAAGUGUAUUAUUAGAACUAGGCUACACGUCUGUCUGCUGUCUAGUUAAUUGGGUAUUUCAUUAAGCCUAGUGUCCUGCUUUAGCAGUGACUUCUGUUCCAGGAAAAGUUGGCCUAGUCGUGCACAAAACCAGUUGUGUGUGUAGGGAGUGAGGGGAUUGAGCUGAGCGAGCCUCUGAGCAGAACAUUUUAUUGCUGUGAGCACGAAUAACUACGAAGGUAAAGGUAGCCAUACAGCUGUAAUGUGUGGUGUGUUCUGAGAAAGGUGCAUGAUUGCAGUGCUUUCUUCUCAUUCGGAGUGCACUGAUGAAUUUGUUUGGCCCUUAUGGGCUUUGUUGAGUGGGAGAUGUUUUUUCACAGGGCUUUAAAUAAUUCUUCAAGCUCCCUUUGCUGCUGGAGGGAGAGCAGUGGCAGAGUUCAGCUGGUACAGUGCCACCAUCCUGAUCCCUCUCCCUCUUCCAAACUGGAUGCCAUAAUCAGCAUCUUCCAGAAGAUGUUUACAAUUAUCUGCAAUUUCCUGGCCAGUCUCUUGUCAUGCGGUGAAGCCUCGCGUCUUUCUUCCUCUGCAACUGAAGACCAGUA